rnacentral:rRNA from 1 species
UCUCCGUAGGUGAACCUGCGGNGGAUCAUUA